rnacentral:rRNA from 1 species
AUGCAAGUCGAACGGUAAGGCCCUUCGGGGUACACGAGUGGCGAACGGGUGAGUAACACGUGGGUAAUCUGCCCUGCACAUCGGGAUAAGCCUGGGAAACUGGGUCUAAUACCGAAUAGGACCACAGAACACAUGUCCUGUGGUGGAAAGCUUUUGCGGUGUGGGAUGGGCCCGCGGCCUAUCAGCUUGUUGGUGGGGUGAUGGCCUACCAAGGCGACGACGGGUAGCCGGCCUGAGAGGGUGUCCGGCCACACUGGGACUGAGAUACGGCCCAGACUCCUACGGGAGGCAGCAGUGGGGAAUAUUGCACAAUGGGCGAAAGCCUGAUGCAGCGACGCCGCGUGGGGGAUGACGGCCUUCGGGUUGUAAACCUCUUUCACCAUCGACGAAGGUCCGGGUUUUCUCGGAUUGACGGUAGGUGGAGAAGAAGCACCGGCCAACUACGUGCCAGCAGCCGCGGUAAUACGUAGGGUGCGAGCGUUGUCCGGAAUUACUGGGCGUAAAGAGCUCGUAGGUGGUUUGUCGCGUUGUUCGUGAAAUCUCACGGCUUAACUGUGAGCGUGCGGGCGAUACGGGCAGACUUGAGUACUGCAGGGGAGACUGGAAUUCCUGGUGUAGCGGUGGAAUGCGCAGAUAUCAGGAGGAACACCGGUGGCGAAGGCGGGUCUCUGGGCAGUAACUGACGCUGAGGAGCGAAAGCGUGGGGAGCGAACAGGAUUAGAUACCCUGGUAGUCCACGCCGUAAACGGUGGGUACUAGGUGUGGGUUUCCUUCCUUGGGAUCCGUGCCGUAGCUAACGCAUUAAGUACCCCGCCUGGGGAGUACGGCCGCAAGGCUAAAACUCAAAGAAAUUGACGGGGGCCCGCACAAGCGGCGGAGCAUGUGGAUUAAUUCGAUGCAACGCGAAGAACCUUACCUGGGUUUGACAUGCACAGGACGCCGGCAGAGAUGUCGGUUCCCUUGUGGCCUGUGUGCAGGUGGUGCAUGGCUGUCGUCAGCUCGUGUCGUGAGAUGUUGGGUUAAGUCCCGCAACGAGCGCAACCCUUGUCUCAUGUUGCCAGCGGGUAAUGCCGGGGACUCGUGAGAGACUGCCGGGGUCAACUCGGAGGAAGGUGGGGAUGACGUCAAGUCAUCAUGCCCCUUAUGUCCAGGGCUUCACACAUGCUACAAUGGCCGGUACAAAGGGCUGCGAUGCCGCGAGGUUAAGCGAAUCCUUUUAAAGCCGGUCUCAGUUCGGAUCGGGGUCUGCAACUCGACCCCGUGAAGUCGGAGUCGCUAGUAAUCGCAGAUCAGCAACGCUGCGGUGAAUACGUUCCCGGGCCUUGUACACACCGCCCGUCACGUCAUGAAAGUCGGUAACACCCGAAGCCAGUGGCCUAACCCUUGGGAGGGAGC